rnacentral:lncRNA from 1 species
CUUGGACCUUUAAAUUUGUUGCUGUUUGUUAAUAUAUAAUAUGAAAAUGCUUUUUUAUUUAAGUAUUUUAAAAUUCCAGCAAAACCACUGACAGAAGCUAUCUAUGUUUUUCCCUAAUUUUGGUUUUCAGUAACACUGUAUCGUAUUUCUAAGUAGCCUCCCUUCUUCAAAAGUGUUGGCCCCUGAACUAUUUGUAACUUCUCAGGAUAAAUGUUCACCUACCAUACUAAAUGGUCUGCUUCCUUAGGAGAUGUCUCAUUCUGGUCAAGCAUCUUAGAAUUUCGUCCUGCAGAAAUAGCAAUUGCUUUUAUUUUCUGAAGAGUUGGAAGUAAAUGUCUCCAGCGCACAAGAACAACUCUUUUUUGCCAAGUCUCUUAAAGUCCAUCAUGUCUCUCCACCCUUUGGU